rnacentral:rRNA from 1 species
UACGUAGGGGGCAAGCGUUGUCCGGAAUCAUUGGGCGUAAAGGGCGCGUAGGCGGUCCGGUAAGCGUGUGGUGAAAGCCCGGGGCUCAACCCCGGGUCUGCCGUGCGAACUGCCGGACUCGAGCACUGUAGAGGCAGGUGGAAUUCCGAGUGUAGCGGUGGAAUGCGUAGAGAUUCGGAGGAACACCGGUGGCGAAGGCGGCCUGCUGGGCAGUGUCUGACGCUGAGGCGCGACAGCGUGGGGAGCAAACAGG